GAAAAUGGUGGUGCCUUAUUCUGAUGGAGAAUUUUGCCAUUGAAAGGAAACAUGCUGCAGUUGAUGUGCAGGUGCCACUUGAACAACAUGACACUGAAAUCGCCGACAUGGAGCCAUGGAUGGUAAAAGACCUCUUGACCGCAGUUGGAUGGCUGUGGAAAAACUGCCAUGCCUUCAGAGGUUUUGUGGAAGAGCCGUGGUAUCUGAAAUGAAACAAGGAAGACCAGGAAAAGGCCCUUCAAUUUAAUCAGGCGGAAACGACUGAUGACCGACAACUGGCCAAAAAGCCUUUCAUAUUUCGUUUCCAAUUCAAGGAAGAUAUGGACGUUUUUCUUUGCGAGUGUCUGGA